GACGAACGCUGGCGGCGUGGAUUAGGCAUGCAAGUCGAACGGUAUCAUCCUUUCGGGGGUGAGAGAGUGGCGAACUGGUGAGUAACACGUAGGUUAUCUACCCUCAAGACGGGGACAACCCAGGGAAACUUGGGCUAAUACCGGAUGUGAGCAACUUUUAGUUGUUUGAAAGGUGGCGUAAGCUGUCGCUUGGGGAUGAGCCUGCGUCCUAUUAGUUAGUUGGUGAGGUAACGGCUCACCUAGGCAAUGAUAGGUAGGCGGCCUUAACGGGUGGUCGCCCACACUGGGAUUGAGAGACGGCCCAGACUCCUACGGGAGGCAGCAGUCGAGAAUAGUCUACAAUGGGACGAAAGUCUGAUAGUGCGACGCCGCGUGAACGAAGAAUCCUUUCGGGGUGUAAAGUUCUUUUCUUAUGUGAGCAGUUUCCUUUUAUAUGAAGAGUAUAGAAGGGGGAUUUAAGCAUAGGAAUAAGCAACGGCUAACUCCGUG
rnacentral:rRNA from 1 species